GGGUUGUGAGGUUAAGCGAACAAGCGUACACGGUGGAUGCCCUGGCAGUCAGAGGCGAUGAAGGACGUGCUAAUCUGCGAAAAGCGCCGGUAAGGUGAUAUGAACCGUUAUAACCGGCGAUGUCCGAAUGGGGAAACCCGGUGCACUUCGGUGCAUCAUCGUUAGCUGAAUACAUAGGCUAACGAGGCGAACCGGGGGAACUGAAACAUCUAAGUACCCCGAGGAAAAGAAAUCAACCGAGAUUCCCCCAGUAGCGGCGAGCGAACGGGGAACAGCCCAGAGCCUGAAUCAGCUUGUGUGUCAGUGGAACGGUCUGGAAAGGCCGGCGAUACAGGGUGACAGCCCCGUACACGAAGGCACACAGGCUGUGAGCUCGAUGAGUAGGGCGGGACACGUGAUAUCCUGUCUGAAGAUGGGGGGACCAUCCUCCAAGGCUAAAUACUCCUGACUGACCGAUAGUGAACCAGUACCGUGAGGGAAAGGCGAAAAGAACCCCGGCGAGGGGAGUGAAACAGAACCUGAAACCGUGUACGUACAAGCAGUGGGAGCCUUCGUAAGAGGGUGACUGCGUACCUUUUGUAUAAUGGGUCAGCGACUUAUAUUCUGUAGCAAGGUUAACCGUAUAGGGGAGCCGAAGGGAAACCGAGUCUUAAUUGGGCGUUAAGUUGCAGGGUAUAGACCCGAAACCCGGUGAUCUAGCCAUGGGCAGGUUGAAGGUUGGGUAACACUAACUGGAGGACCGAACCGACUAAUGUUGAAAAAUUAGCGGAUGACCUGUGGCUGGGGGUGAAAGGCCAAUCAAACCGGGAGAUAGCUGGUUCUCCCCGAAAGCUAUUUAGGUAGCGCCUCGUGAACUCAUCUCCGGGGGUAGAGCACUGUUUCGGCUAGGGGGCCAUCCCGGCUUACCAACCCGAUGCAAACUGCGAAUACCGGAGAAUGUUAUCACGGGAGACACACGGCGGGUGCUAACGUCCGUCGUGAAGAGGGAAACAACCCAGACCGCCAGCUAAGGUCCCAAAGUCAUGGUUAAGUGGGAAACGAUGUGGGAAGGCCCAGACAGCCAGGAUGUUGGCUUAGAAGCAGCCAUCAUUUAAAGAAAGCGUAAUAGCUCACUGGUCGAGUCGGCCUGCGCGGAAGAUGUAACGGGGCUAAACCAUGCACCGAAGCUGCGGCAGCGACACUAUGUGUUGUUGGGUAGGGGAGCGUUCUGUAAGCCUGUGAAGGUGUGCUGUGAGGCAUGCUGGAGGUAUCAGAAGUGCGAAUGCUGACAUAAGUAACGAUAAAGCGGGUGAAAAGCCCGCUCGCCGGAAGACCAAGGGUUCCUGUCCAACGUUAAUCGGGGCAGGGUGAGUCGACCCCUAAGGCGAGGCCGAAAGGCGUAGUCGAUGGGAAACAGGUUAAUAUUCCUGUACUUGGUGUUACUGCGAAGGGGGGACGGAGAAGGCUAUGUCGGCCGGGCGACGGUUGUCCCGGUUUAAGCGUGUAGGCUGACUUUCCAGGCAAAUCCGGAAGGUUAAGGCUGAGGCGUGAUGACGAGGCACCACGGUGCUGAAGUGACAAAUGCCCUGCUUCCAGGAAAAGCCUCUAAGCAUCAGGUAACAUCAAAUCGUACCCCAAACCGACACAGGUGGUCAGGUAGAGAAUACCAAGGCGCUUGAGAGAACUCGGGUGAAGGAACUAGGCAAAAUGGUGCCGUAACUUCGGGAGAAGGCACGCUGACAUGUAGGUGAAGCCCCUGCGGGUGGAGCUGAAGUCAGUCGAAGAUACCAGCUGGCUGCAACUGUUUAUUAAAAACACAGCACUGUGCAAACACGAAAGUGGACGUAUACGGUGUGACGCCUGCCCGGUGCCGGAAGGUUAAUUGAUGGGGUUAUCGCAAGAGAAGCUCCUGAUCGAAGCCCCGGUAAACGGCGGCCGUAACUAUAACGGUCCUAAGGUAGCGAAAUUCCUUGUCGGGUAAGUUCCGACCUGCACGAAUGGCGUAAUGAUGGCCAGGCUGUCUCCACCCGAGACUCAGUGAAAUUGAACUCGCUGUGAAGAUGCAGUGUACCCGCGGCAAGACGGAAAGACCCCGUGAACCUUUACUACAGCUUGACACUGAACAUUGAGCCUUGAUGUGUAGGAUAGGUGGGAGGCUUUGAAGCGUGGACGCCAGUCUGCGUGGAGCCGACCUUGAAAUACCACCCUUUAAUGUUUGAUGUUCUAACCUGGCGCCGUGAUCCGGCGUGGGGACAGUGUCUGGUGGGUAGUUUGACUGGGGCGGUCUCCUCCCAAAGUGUAACGGAGGAGCACGAAGGUCAGCUAAUCCUGGUCGGACAUCAGGAGGUUAGUGCAAUGGCAUAAGCUGGCUUGACUGCGAGAGUGACGGCUCGAGCAGGUGCGAAAGCAGGUCAUAGUGAUCCGGUGGUUCUGUAUGGAAGGGCCAUCGCUCAACGGAUAAAAGGUACUCCGGGGAUAACAGGCUGAUACCGCCCAAGAGUUCAUAUCGACGGCGGUGUUUGGCACCUCGAUGUCGGCUCAUCACAUCCUGGGGCUGAAGUAGGUCCCAAGGGUAUGGCUGUUCGCCAUUUAAAGUGGUACGCGAGCUGGGUUUAGAACGUCGUGAGACAGUUCGGUCCCUAUCUGCCGUGGGCGCUGGAGAAUUGAGGGGGGCUGCUCCCAGUACGAGAGGACCGGAGUGGACGCAUCACUGGUGUUCGGGUUGUCAUGCCAAUGGCACUGCCCGGUAGCUAAAUGCGGAAGAGAUAAGUGCUGAAAGCAUCUAAGCACGAAACUUGCCCCGAGAUGAGUUCUCCCUGAGACUUUAAGUCUCCUGAAGGAACGUUGAAGACGACGACGUUGAUAGGCCGGGUGUGUAAGCGCAGCGAUGCGUUGAGCUAACCGGUACUAAUGAACCGUGAGGCUUAACCUUACAACGCCAAAGAAGU
rnacentral:rRNA from 1 species